rnacentral:rRNA from 1 species
GAUGAACGCUGGCGGCGUGCCUAAUACAUGCAAGUCGAGCGGACGGACGAGAAGCUUGCUUCUCUGAUGUUAGCGGCGGACGGGUGAGUAACACGUGUAUAACCUACCUAUAAGACUGGGAUAACUUCGGGAAACCGGAGCUAAUACCGGAUAAUAUUUUGAACCGCAUGGUUCAAAAGUGAAAGACGGUCUUGCUGUCUCGUAUAGAUGGAUCCGCGCUGCAUUGGCUAGUUGGUAAGGUAACGGGUUACCAAGGCAACGAGGCAUAGCCGACGUGAGAGGCUGGUAGCCCACCCUGGAGCUGGACCGCGGACAAGGCUCCUGAGGGACGCAGCAGUAGGGAACCGUCCGCAAUGGUGGGAAGCAUGACGGAGCAACGCCGAGUGAGUGAUGACGGUCUUCGGAGCGUAAAACUCUGUUAUUAGGGAAGAACAGAUGUGUAAUGAACUGUGCACAGCUUGACGGUACCUAAUCAGAAAGCACCGGCUAACUACGUG